rnacentral:rRNA from 1 species
UACGUAGGGGUCUAGCGUUGUCCGGAAUUAUUGGGCGUAAAGGGCUCGUAGGCGGUCUGUUGCGUCGGGAGUGAAAACUCAGGGCUUAACCCUGAGCCUGCUUCCGAUACGGGCAGACUAGAGGUAUGCAGGGGAGAACGGAAUUCCUGGUGUAGCGGUGAAAUGCGCAGAUAUCAGGAGGAACACCGGUGGCGAAGGCGGUUCUCUGGGCAUUACCUGACGCUGAGGAGCGAAAGUGUGGGGAGCGAACAGG